rnacentral:rRNA from 1 species
AGAACGAACGCUGGCGGCAUGCCUAACACAUGCAAGUCGAACGAGACCUUCGGGUCUAGUGGCGCACGGGUGCGUAACGCGUGGGAAUCUGCCCUUGGGUUCGGAAUAACAGCGAGAAAUUGCUGCUAAUACCGGAUGAUGACGUAAGUCCAAAGAUUUAUCGCCCAAGGAUGAGCCCGUGUAGGAUUAGCUUGUUGGUGAGGUAAGAGCUCACCAAGGCGACGAUCCUUAGCUGGUCUGAGAGGAUGAUCAGCCACACUGGGACUGAGACACGGCCCAGACUCCUACGGGAGGCAGCAGUGGGGAAUAUUGGACAAUGGGCGAAAGCCUGAUCCAGCAAUGCCGCGUGAGUGAUGAAGGCCUUAGGGUUGUAAAGCUCUUUACCCGGAUGAUAAUGACAGUACCGGAGAAUAAGCUCGGCUAACUCCGUGCCAGCAGCCG